AUUCCCUCGGGGACAUCCGAUAAAAUUGGAACAAUACAAAGAAGAUUAGUAUGGCCUCUGGUCAACGAUGACACGCACAAAUCGAGAAAUGAUACAAAUUUUC
rfam:Arabis alpina cultivar Pajares Aa.chr7_contig_2002, whole genome shotgun sequence.